rnacentral:tRNA from 1 species
GGGCCCGUAGCUCAGCCUGGUAGAGCGGCGGGCUCUUACCACGGCGGAAGUCCCGGGUUCGAAUCCCGGCGGGCCCGCCA